AUUUUGGGGUUGAACAUGGCUUUCGAUUGCUUGCUUCGCUUUUUAGCCUUGCGGGUGGUUGAUUGGCAUUUCGGCUCCGGGAAUGUCUACCGUAAAGGUGCAUGAGUGGUGUUUGGUUUGAUACGGGUGGUCGGCUCCCUGCUUGAGCAGGCACGGCCACGCGUGCAUUCCUUUUCAGUUGGGCGGCAAGGCUUGUAUCGUCUUGAUCGUUGAAGUGGGUUUCAUGUGUUGCAUACCUGAUCAAUGGCAUCGUUUUGAUCAAAAGCUGUCUUUUUCGUCUGACGUUGCGACCGCAUCGUCGGAUGAUUCAAGUAGCAUCAUCUUUGAUCCAUGCAGUUGAUGUUAAUUCGUUGACUAUUUGGCCCAUUGAUGGUGGCUUGGUCUCUCGAAUAUGGAAGCUAAAGUGGGCAUGGGAUCGCAAGAUCCUUUUAUUGCCCUUUCUGAGCGUUAUCGCUUCUCUUAAACGACUACCUUUCACGUAUGGCACGUCCCAGCGUGUUUUGGCUAUGUCGAAGAGGAAUGUUACCUGGUUGAUCCUGCCA
rnacentral:misc_RNA from 1 species